CCGGCCCGUUUCCGCGUGUGCCGCGUGGCGCAAGAAAGAACCAGAUAGAAGCUGGAAACCCGCAAACAAGAACAACAAAACACGUGCCAAUAUCACGCUCUGCUCUGCAUUCGGUCUUCCCGAGGCAGAGUCCUGUGCGGCACAGGGCCACAGGACAACUGGUUAGCCGAGCGUUAGUUAUGAGUGCUGCGGGCGGGGCUCCUCCUCAGGCGGGGAAGACGCUGCUUCUGACUCGCAGAGUCGGGGAUCGGCAAAGGCAAAUCAGUCACUUGUCUGCAGCCACACAACUAGUGAGUAGCCAACUGCGGCCUCCUUAGCGCUCUUCCCAGGCCCUCCCGUGACUCUGCCUCGGUGUCGUCCCUCUCUUCUAGAACCUCCCCAGUUCAUCAAUCUCCUUCCUAAAAUGUGGUGCCCAGGGCUGAGCACGGAAGCAGGCGGGCUAGGGCACAGAAAGGUGCGGCUACUUCCCCCUUAGCCUCUCCUGCAUGGCUACUUCAUGCUAUUGACUGGACAGCGAGGUGACGGAGGCGAUGGAUAGAGCUCCAGGUCUUAAAUCAGGAAGACCUGAAAUCAAAUUUGACCUCAAUUACCAGCUGUGGGACGGUAGGCAAGUCAUUUUGUCCUGUCUGCCUCAGUUUCUCAUCUAUAAAAUGAGCUGGAAAAGGAAAUAAUGACCACUCUAGUAUCUUUGCCCGAAUUGUCAAGAAUCAGACUGAAAAAGUGGUGCACCGAGGUCAUAGUAUUACACUCAUAAUACACUAAAAGCCCGAGAACUUUCACAGGAAAUGUCAACCAGACACAACUCUGCACUCAGAACUUACAAAGUUGAUUGCAAACAAACAAACAAAGAACAAAUUGAGCCAUGGAUAAGUCACUUGCGGGACUUUUAUUUGCCAAGUUUUAUCUCUCUCUAAUAAUGGGAUUGUCCUUUUCUGGAAUUCACUUCCUCAUCUCUGCCUCCCGAUUUCUCUGACUUCCUUCAGGACUUAGCUGAAAUCCCAUCCUCUGUCGAAGGCCACUGACAGUCCCUUCCCUCUGAGACACUGCACGUACCCUGUAUGUUAUUUUCAUGUUUUUCCUUCCGUUAGAAUGUGAGCUCCUCGAGAGCAGGAAACUUUCCCCCCUUUCAUUAUAUCCAUACUGCUUAACCUAGUGCCUAGUACAUGAAAAUGUUUAAUAAAUGCUUGUUGAUGGCCUGAUUUAAAUGGCAUCUUUUAAACUUUCAGUUUCUCCAUCUUUAAAAAGGGAAAUAAGCCUUGCAAUACCAUCUCACAGCAUUGUUUGGAAAGGGGGGAAGCACUCUGUAAAUCACACAAUGUUUUAGAAGAGGGAACUCUUAUUACCCAUAAUAACUUGCUCUUUCCAUAAACGAAAAACACUUGGCCAUUGGUUCAUUUCCUCUUCCCUUUGCUACAGUCCUAUUCCCC
rnacentral:lncRNA from 1 species